UACGUAGGGGGCUAGCGUUGUCCGGAAUCAUUGGGCGUAAAGAGCGUGUAGGCGGUCCGGUAAGUCCGUUGUGAAAGUCAAGGGCUCAACCCUUGAAUGCCGGCGGAUACUGUCGGGCUAGAGUCCGGAAGAGGCAAGUGGAAUUCCCGGUGUAGCGGUGAAAUGCGCAGAUAUCGGGAGGAACACCAAUGGCGAAGGCAGCUCGCUGGGACGGUACUGACGCUGAGGCGCGAAAGCGUGGGGAGCAAACAGG
rnacentral:rRNA from 1 species